GAUGAACGCUGGCGGCGUGCCUAAUACAUGCAAGUCGAGCGAACAGACGAGGAGCUUGCUCCUCUGAUGUUAGCGGCGGACGGGUGAGUAACACGUGGAUAACCUACCUAUAAGACUGGGAUAACUUCGGGAAACCGGAGCUAAUACCGGAUAACAUGUUGAACCGCAUGGUUCAACAGUGAAAGACGGUCUUGCUGUCACUUAUAGAUGGAUCCGCGCCGCAUUAGCUAGUUGGUAAGGUAACGGCUUACCAAGGCAACGAUGCGUAGCCGACCUGAGAGGGUGAUCGGCCACACUGGAACUGAGACACGGUCCAGACUCCUACCGGAGGCAGCAGUAGGGAAUCUUCCGCAAUGGGCGAAAGCCUGACGGAGCAACGCCGCGUGAGUGAAGAAGGUCUUCGGAUCGUAAAACUCUGUUAUUAGGGAAGAACAAAUGUGUAAGUAACUAUGCACGUCUUGACGGUACCUAAUCAGAAAGCCACGGCUAACUACGUG
rnacentral:rRNA from 1 species